rnacentral:rRNA from 1 species
CCUACGGGAGGCAGCAGUGGGGAAUUUUGGACAAUGGGCGCAAGCCUGAUCCAGCCAUGCCGCGUGUGGGAAGAAGGCCUUCGGGUUGUAAACCACUUUUGUCAGGGAAGAAACGGCUCUUACUAAUAUUAGGGGCUAAUGACGGUACCUGAAGAAUAAGCACCGGCUAACUACGUGCCAGCAGCCGCGGUAAUACGCAGGGUGCAAGCGUUAAUCGGAAUUACUGGGCGUAAAGCGUGCGCAGGCGGCUUUGCAAGACAGAUGUGAAAUCCCCGGGCUCAACCUGGGAACUGCAUUUGUGACUGCAUGGCUAGAGUACGGUAGAGGGGGAUGGAAUUCCGCGUGUAGCAGUGAAAUGCGUAGAUAUGCGGAGGAACACCGAUGGCGAAGGCAAUCCCCUGGACCUGUACUGACGCUCAUGCACGAAAGCGUGGGGAGCAAACAGGAUUAGAUACCCUGGUAGUCCACGCCCUAAACGAUGUCAACUGGUUGUUGGACGGCUUGCUGUUCAGUACGAAGCUAACGCGUGAAGUUGACCGCCUGGGGNGACGGCGCGAGUAGACGUACGAGAGAGUAGAGCGUGAGACGNGCGACGGACGACGACGAGGGAGGAGG